UACAGAGGGGGCAAGCGUUAUUCGGAAUUAUUGGGCGUAAAGGGCGCGUAGGCGGCUUUGCAAGUGGCGGGUGAAAUCCCUCGGCUUAACCGAGGAACUGCCUGUCAAACUGCAUGGCUUGAGACCAGGAGAGGUGAGUGGAAUUCCCAGUGUAGCGGUGAAAUGCGUAGAUAUUGGGAGGAACACCAGUGGCGAAGGCGGCUCACUGGACCGGUACUGACGCUGAUGCGCGAAAGCGUGGGGAGCAAACGGG
rnacentral:rRNA from 1 species